GACGAACGCUGGCGGCGUGCCUAAUACAUGCAAGUAGAACGCUGAAGAGAGGAGCUUGCUCUUCUUGGAUGAGUUGCGAACGGGUGAGUAACGCGUAGGUAACCUGCCUUGUAGCGGGGGAUAACUAUUGGAAACGAUAGCUAAUACCGCAUAACAAUGGAUGACACAUGUCAUUUAUUUGAAAGGGGCAAUUGCUCCACUACAAGAUGGACCUGCGUUGUAUUAGCUAGUAGGUGAGGUAACGGCUCACCUAGGCGACGAUACAUAGCCGACCUGAGAGGGUGAGCGGCCACACUGGGACUGAGACACGGCCCAGACUCCUACGGGAGGCAGCAGUAGUGAAUCUUCGGCAAUGGGGGCAACCCUGACCGAGCAACGCCGCGUGAGUGAAGAAGGUUUUCGGAUCGUAAAGCUCUGUUGUAAGUCAAGAACGAGUGUGAGAGUGGAAAGUUCACACUGUGACGGUAGCUUACCAGAAAGGGACGGCUAACUACGUG
rnacentral:rRNA from 1 species